rnacentral:rRNA from 1 species
AGUUUGAUCCUGGCUCAGGAUGAACGCUGGCGGCGUGCCUAACACAUGCAAGUCGAGCGAUUCUCUUCGGAGAAGAGCGGCGGACGGGUGAGUAACGCGUGGGUAACCUGCCCUGUACACACGGAUAACAUACCGAAAGGUAUGCUAAUACGAGAUAAUAUGCUUUUAUCGCAUGGUAGAAGUAUCAAAGCUCCGGCGGUACAGGAUGGACCCGCGUCUGAUUAGCUAGUUGGUAAGGUAACGGCUUACCAAGGCGACGAUCAGUAGCCGACCUGAGAGGGUGAUCGGCCACAUUGGAACUGAGACACGGUCCAAACUCCUACGGGAGGCAGCAGUGGGGAAUAUUGCACAAUGGGCGAAAGCCUGAUGCAGCAACGCCGCGUGAGCGAUGAAGGCCUUCGGGUCGUAAAGCUCUGUCCUCAAGGAAGAUAAUGACGGUACUUGAGGAGGAAGCCCCGGCUAACUACGUGCCAGCAGCCGCGGUAAUACGUAGGGGGCUAGCGUUAUCCGGAAUUACUGGGCGUAAAGGGUGCGUAGGUGGUUUCUUAAGUCAGAGGUGAAAGGCUACGGCUCAACCGUAGUAAGCCUUUGAAACUGGGAAACUUGAGUGCAGGAGAGGAGAGUGGAAUUCCUAGUGUAGCGGUGAAAUGCGUAGAUAUUAGGAGGAACACCAGUUGCGAAGGCGGCUCUCUGGACUGUAACUGACACUGAGGCACGAAAGCGUGGGGAGCAAACAGGAUUAGAUACCCUGGUAGUCCACGCCGUAAACGAUGAGUACUAGCUGUCGGAGGUUACCCCCUUCGGUGGCGCAGCUAACGCAUUAAGUACUCCGCCUGGGAAGUACGCUCGCAAGAGUGAACUCAAAGGAAUUGACGGGGACCCGCACAAGUAGCGGAGCAUGUGGUUUAAUUCGAAGCAACGCGAAGAACCUUACCUAAGCUUGACAUCCUUUUGACCGAUGCCUAAUCGCAUCUUUCUCUUCGGGGACAGAAGUGACAGGUGGUGCAUGGUUGUCGUCAGCU